GUGGGGAAUUUUGGACAAUGGGCGCAAGCCUGAUCCAGCAAUGCCGCGUGCAGGAAGAAGGCCUUCGGGUUGUAAACUGCUUUUGUACGGAACGAAACGGUCCUGGUUAAUACCUGGGGCUAAUGACGGUACCGUAAGAAUAAGCACCGGCUAACUACGUGCCAGCAGCCGCGGUAAUACGUAGGGUGCAAGCGUUAAUCGGAAUUACUGGGCGUAAAGCGUGCGCAGGCGGUUUUGUAAGACAGGCGUGAAAUCCCCGGGCUCAACCUGGGAAUUGCACUUGUGACUGCAAGGCUGGAGUGCGGCAGAGGGGGAUGGAAUUCCGCGUGUAGCAGUGAAAUGCGUAGAUAUGCGGAGGAACACCGAUGGCGAAGGCAAUCCCCUGGGCCUGCACUGACGCUCAUGCACGAAAGCGUGGGGAGCAAACAGGAUUAGAUACCCGUGUAGUCC
rnacentral:rRNA from 1 species